CAGAAGUGACUUGUUUGGUCUCUGAUUCUUGCACUCAGGCACAAGACAACCUGACAUUUCAGGAGAUGGUCUGUCAGAAUUGGAUCUCUGAGUGGGGUGGCUCUUGAUAGGGAUCCCUGUUAACUGUGACUAGAAUCCUGAGAAGAGAAAAACCUUCCUGAAAUGGGCAUAUCCCUGGCUGGCCUGGAACCAACCUUUCGGACUUAGGACUAUGGGAAGAAUAGGGGGAGAUUCUCUAGUGAUGAUAAUACAUGAAUGCUUUAAAAGCUAGAACAGGCGUCCCUGGGUGGUCUUGAACUACUCACCGUUCGGUUAAUAGCCGAACGCUCUGACCGAUUGCGCCACAGAGACAGGUACUAGCGAUUCCACUGGGCGCUAUAGGCAGGGCGCACUCACCGAACUCCCCAAUCCCUUCCAGCCUCAGAGCCCGCCUGGCAGGACUACUGAGCAAGGCCUUGGAAAAUCGGAGCGAUUAGAGCGAAGUGCUUCGGUCAGGCAGUAUCUUUGAAAAUAAUUUGGCCAAUGAAAGCCCUGGCAUUGGAUGAAAGUGCUAGCUGCUGGGAAUGCUACCCCUCCUUUUGGUUCUCUUUCAAGUCCUUCAGGUUCAAACAAUACAGAAGUGUAUAAAGUAAGAAUUGAAAGUCUCUUCGCUGCUCUAAUCUCACUCCUCAGAGGUGAUCACUGUGUGGAAGAUGAUCAAAGUAUGACAUUUCUUCUACCCCAGAGGCUGGCAUUUCUGCAGGCACAAAUGAGCUUGGUUUUCAAGCACUGCUCUUUGAACACAAGGAAUUCCUUUAAUGAUCACGCCGGACUAUAUAGACUUUGGAAUCAGACUCUUUGAAUUCCAGCUCUGCCAUUUACCAACUUUGACACUUUGGACAACGUCUCAUUCUGUCACCCAGGCUGGAGUGCAGUGGCACAAUUAUAGCUCACUGCAGCCUCAAACACCUGGGCUCAAGCAAUCCUUCCACCUCUGCCUCCUGAGUAAUUGGGACUACAGGGUUUUGGAAAUCUGGAUUGUAGCAGGGCAUUGUAAGUUAAAAAAUCAUCUUCCCAUUCUGUUCUUUGCAAAGAUAUUUCUGUUCCUUAAAUUUGUUGAGGGUAAGAGAUUGCAGAUUGCUUCUGUGGACUUCUUGAAGGUGGAUCUGCCUGUUGGUGGAGAACCCUAGACUGCAUGCAGCCAUGCACAUGAUCUGGAGACACAGCAGGUCAUCCUCAGCAUUUAUACUCUCUCUCCUUUUGUGCCCCCAUGGACCAAGUUAAGAAGGUGUAGGCUUCAAAUCUUAAGAUCGGUCACCACAAAAUUCAAAAAGACAAGGUCUUUGUCUGUUGCUCAGGAUGGAGUGUAGUGGUGCCAUAGCACACUGUAAUCUUGAAUUUCUGGACUACUGGCAUACACCACCAUGCUUAGGUUCGGGCCACAACAUCCGUGACUUUACCGGUUUUGGUCUCUUCCUUGUAACUUUCGGCUCCAGGAUGCUGCGCAGCUCCUCUCUGCACUAUCUAUCAGAACGUUGCUCUGCGUGCUUGAAAGUUUCGCCAAACAGAAGUACACAAAAACAAACAGAGGCGAAACACAAAUCCCCUCAGCCCUGGAGGAAAAGGCCUUGAAGCUCUUCCAGUGCAGAGGCCACGCAGAGGACAUGCUCCUACCUGUGCACAUCGGCCACGCCUGGGGUGCCUCCUGGAGUCCAGGCUGCUGGCGAUGGAAUCCAUCAUGUUGCUGAUGUCACUACUCUCAACUCCUGAUGGCAUCAGAACACAGGCAGCAUCAAGAUCAGGCUCAAGAUGCAGGAUUUUAUCAUCCAAAUCAGGCCCACAUAUGGAUGAAACCCUUCAGGUAUUCUGCACAUCUCUCAGGAAACCCAGAUGAAAUUGAGUGCCUGCUGCCCACAUCAGCAACCCAGACAUCCCACUUGAUUCUGCUUCUGGAGCCUAAGAUGGGAAAAUGGCAGGUGUCGCAGGUUGCAGGGGAAGGUCGGAGACCAGUUGAGGGCCCCGGAGUCUGUCUGGAAAGAGUUUUCCAUCCAGCCCGUCUCGGUUUCCGCAUCCGUGUGAGUCCUUUAUGACGUCGGGAAUGCCAAGGUCUGAGUCCUUUAUGAUGUUCAGGGUGCCCCGGUCUCACCCCGGGAGCCUCCUCGCUCCGGCCUGCUCCUGGCUACCCGGUGGGCGGCUCUGGCCCCAGCGACCCGCUACUGUUUCUCCAUGCGCUGCCACUUCGCAAAGGCACAUCUCUAGGUCAGUGGUCAGCUGCAGCCAGGGCGCUGCAACUCGCUCCAGGACUCGGGAAUCAGGGCCUUGGUGGGCCUCGCAGAGUGCUGGGUGUGUCGCCUGCGGGCUCCUCUUUUGGAGAAAGGAGGGAGGGAAAGGCCUUGUGAGACGACUCCAGGAGCGACCAGCGACCCCCACAAGGCCCAAGUCCUCCCAGCGCACUCAGAAACAGUCACUUAAAUGGCAAUAAGGUUGAGAAAGACUCUCCCGUGCCCCCGUGCUGGUGUAGUGGCUGUGAUUCAGUCCUUUCACCACCGCAUCCCGGGUUCGAUUACCGGUCAGGGAGUUGUUUUGCACUGACUGCCCACCCGCAGUAAUCUUUCUUUACUCCGCUGUCAGCCGGCCUGCUCCAAGAGCCAGAGGCAGAAGAGUCUCCCUGCAAGGUGCAAACCCUGGCGAAGGAGGGCAAGUCCUGGUGGACGGCCUCUCAUGACACACCCUCUUAUUUAUCUCCGUGUCCACCAUUCGCAGAAGGGGCUUUAGAGAGCGACUGAGCGUCUCGCUCAGGUGUACACCACCGUGCAGAGAUGGCAGCUCUCCUGGAGGUGUACCCAAGAAGCCCACCAUCUUUGCCGCCUCCGCCAUCCCAGAGGCGCCGAUUGGGCUGAGCUGCAAAUAACUAAGAGAGAGAGAGGCCAAGCCAAGUCGUGGCGUUUGUGUGCGGCACACGUCGUCAGCUGACACAGGCGGUCAGCUGAGCCUCCUCACCUCAGUUCGCAGCUAACAUGCUUCUUAGGCCUUCGGAAGAGGCGACAGGAGGCGAUGGCCGCGAGGUUGGGAGGGGGGUGAGCGGCGGGUGAGGUCCUCCAGGACCGCCCAUUUAUUGACUGGGUGGUACAGGAGGGCGAUGUUCGCUUACCCAACAACGACAGCAGGUGGAGUAGGCACUAAUGGAAAACUGUGGCCGGUGCCCUAAGCAGAAGGCAGGUGUAAAAAUCACUAGGACAUCAAAGGGAUAGUACCACAGUCAAAUCCCGCAAUGUCUGUCUACACUCUACCAAGCAAUUGUGCACCCUCCCCCUUUUCCAUUCAGUACUCCCAAGAAGGGUUGGGACGAACCCUGUGUCCACUGUAAAGCUCAGGGGAGAGCGGGAGCGAGGGAGGUGAAGUGCACAGACUGGGCAGAGGCGGCGGGCAGAACUGCGGGGGUGAGAGGGCGCGGUGGCUGCGGGGCGGGAGCCUCUGCUGAAAGGAGGCCUGGGUUGUCCUGUGGGUGACUGUUGGUGGAAUCUUUGGCAGCGAGUGGUUGGAAGAAUGGCGACGGGCGAGCAGAGGGGAAGGUGGUGACCCUGAGCGUCUGGCUAGGGGAGAGGAGGCUGUACUGACACUCGUCUCCUCUUACCUGGCGAGGGACAGACCGUGGUCAAGAAGGGAGCUCUCCCUGGUUGAGGCUAGUCCACCACACUCCAGCUGCUCUGACCCCUGCGAUUUCCCUACACGCGGGGCGCUUGUCUGCGGUGGUGUUUGCGCUACCCGGGGGCUGGGUUCACGCAGGCUCCUGACAGUCCUUGGCUCACCGCCCCCGACGCGGAUAUCGCCGCUAGAGACCCUUCCGCCACCCUCCUAGGGAUCUUGAGGGCCUUCCUUGUUGUUCCGACUGAAGCUCACGAACAGACAGAUGUGAGCUCUCUGUCUUUUACACGUUGAAUUUGGCUAUUGGCAAAAAAAGCCCUGACCCAGAGCUUGGGACUCCUCCCGGCCUGCACACGACUUCCCGACUCUUGCCUCCUAGCGCGGCUCUUGGCUAGCGGGCGGGCAGCCUCCACCCAGCGUAGAACCGCGGCAGCCGCAGCCCCCGCAGGCUGGCGGUCAGACACUAGCAGGAAAAGGGACACAAGGCCUGCGUGGUGGGAAAGCAUGGGAGACGUCGCUUUCCCACCAGGCGAGAAGGUCUCCCUACAGUCUUUGGACAGAAGAUGGAGGGAGGCACCCCUUCCAGGAGCAAGGCGGCUGCUCCUGAGGCCUGGCUCCGCACGGAGGCUCCUGGGUCCCGCGCGCCCUCUCCCUACCGGUUAUAGCCAGAGCUGCUUCACACAUCUCAGCCGGCUUCCUCUUCCGCCUCUGCCACCUCUUCCUCCCCAGCUCGUGGGAAAGACCUAGCCUCCUCUCCAACACUUGGAGAGGGAGUUGGAUGAACGUCUCCUAACCCCAGUAGGACAGAGAUCCUGAGGUAGGAGGGGACCCCUUGCCUUGCUGCUUCUUUUGGCACCGCUGACCCGGGCCCAGGACUCCUCGCUCCUCCUGGAAGGCCUGGGUCGUGUAGCCCACAGAGGUGGCCACGUGGGCAUCUCCCCCACUGCUCCUCAUAGAACCGGAGGCAUUAUCCUGCCGGGCCCACUCUUACCCAUGAAAGAAACUUGGGAAAUGCUCCCGGGGAAGCCGGGGAUCUGGGCGCUCGACCACUUCGGUGUGAAUCUUCCGUCCGCUCAUCCUUCCUUCGGAGGGUCUUGGGGAGAGGAGAAAUGCUCAAGGACGAUGCGCUUUGCAGCGUCUCAAGGGAAACUAGAUCUCAACGGAUACCAGAAGUCUGGAGCGUCUUCCUGGAGGAAGGCGGCCCGAGGCCUGCGGUUGCAGGGAGGCUUGCGGAGCACAGCGCCCUCUCUCAGCCUGAGCUAUCCAGUGGCUUCCAGCAUCCCAGCUGGCCGACUCCACUUCCUCUCUCUUCCUCCUACUGCGGGUCUUCUUCUUCUCUUUGGGGACCGAAUCUCGCUCUGUCGCCCAGGCUGGAGUGCAGUGGCGCGAUCUCGGCUUACUGCAACCUCCGCCUCCCGGGUUGAAGCGAUUCUCCUGCCUCAGCCUCCCGAAUAGCUGGGACUACAGGCGCGUGCCACCACGCCCGGCUAAUUUUUUGUAUUUUUAGUUGAGACGGGGUUUCACCCUGUUAGCCAGGAUGGUCUCGAUCUCCUGGCCUCUUGAUCCGCCCGCCUCGGCCUCCCAAAGUGCUGGGAUUACAGGCGUGAGCCUCCGCGCCCGGCCUACUGCGGCUCUUCUAUCCUGGUGUUCUUUGAAUGCCUAUCUUCCUUUUGUGCCACAGAACCUCUCACGCCCGCCACAGGUUGCUCAUUUCCUUGGUUGUUCUGAACUUUAAAUAAGUUAAUGUAUGUAAGAGUGCCAUAAAUGCUCAGUAAUUGACAUCUGUUAUUUUCAUCAGUAACAUCAUCUGAAUCAUCUGUAUUGUCUAUUUUUAACAACUGCAUUUUUCAUUGUCCAAAUAAAGUCACAUACAUUUGAACAUUAUAUAAUGAUUGAAUAAUAAAAUUAUUCUGCUAUUUUACAAUAAAAA
rnacentral:tRNA from 1 species